rnacentral:rRNA from 1 species
CUGGCGGCAGGCCUAACACAUGCAAGUCGAGCGCGCCUUCGGGUGAGCGGCGGACGGGUUAGUAACGCGUGGGAACGUGCCCUUCUCUACGGAAUAGCCUCUGGAAACGGAGAGUAAUACCGUAUACGCCCUUUGGGGGAAAGAUUUAUCGGAGAAGGAUCGGCCCGCGUUAGAUUAGGUAGUUGGUGGGGUAACGGCCUACCAAGCCUACGAUCUAUAGCUGGUUUUAGAGGAUGAUCAGCAACACUGGGACUGAGACACGGCCCAGACUCCUACGGGAGGCAGCAGUGGGGAAUCUUAGACAAUGGGGGCAACCCUGAUCUAGCCAUGCCGCGUGAGUGAUGAAGGCCUUAGGGUCGUAAAGCUCUUUCGCCUGUGAUGAUAAUGACAGUAGCAGGUAAAGA